rnacentral:rRNA from 1 species
AUGCCUCUGCUUGACCUGCAGGAAUUGCUCCAGCGGAAACACAUAUCAAAUUCCAGGUGUACAACCACAUAUUGUUGUGGAUUUCAGAUGUGCUUACAUUUUCUCAUGCCUUCCCCUCCUAUUUUAGCUCAGUGUGCUUUGGAUAUAAGCAUAGCCGCUACAAAGGUCGGUACCAAGGUUACUUCAGGGGAAAACACUGAGCUAUUCUCUGUGGACUUUGAGCACAAUGGGUUAUUUUGUGGAGAUGGGGUGAACAGGUCUUAUAUUGGCAGUACCCAUGAUAUUUUUGACUUCUGUCAGAGUGACUCAUGGUCGCUUGCGAAGAUAGGUUACUGCCUGAACUACUUAGGAUAUAAUGUGGAAGACCCUGCACUCUCAGUGUACUGGUGCUUCCCUGGCAAAGAUAUUGUUGAUGGGCUAGUACAAGUAAACACUCCAGAAGUUUGUGCUGCUAUGGUCAAUGCUAGCAAGGAAACCAAAACACUGUGCUUAAUGGUCGAUGAAAAAAUUCGUCUGAAGAGUAUGUGGGGUGAUCACAUAGUUAAUGGUUGCCCUGAGCUUCCUAGGGUGUUAAGCCCAAGGAAAAUGUCUAGUUCUGCAAGAUCUGGAGAAGGAACAUCAAGAUGGCAGUCAUCUGGCAAGGAGAAGUUGGAACAACAUGAAGAAGAGGAGGAUGAGGAAAGAGGGGAGGCAGAGCAAACAAAUGAAGACGAUGAGACAGAUCCAGAGUUUUAUGGAAGUGAUUAUGAUGUGGAAGAUGGUGAUGAUGACCUUUUCUUGGAAAAUGUGGACAAAACAGUGGGUGAUCACAAUGAAAAUGAAGGAUAUGUUGAAGAAGAGGAUGCUUUAGAUGAUGAUGACAUAAAUCUGUCAGCUGAAGAGCUUAGCAAGCUAAGGUACACAUUCAGUGCGUUCAAUCCAGAGCUUGACAUGGCAAAUCCAACAUUCAAGGUUGGCAUGGUUUUUGGUGAUAUGAAAGAGCUAAGGAAGGCAUUGGAUGCAUACAGUGUUAGACAUAGGGUUAAGAUCUGCAAAACUAGAAAUGAGUCGGAGAGGCUGAAUGCAGAGUGUAGUGAUGGUCGUCCAUGGCAUUUGAAGGCAUCAAAGGACAAUAGGACUGGCAGCAUAGUAGUUAGGCAAUACAAUGGCACACACAACUGUAAGAAGAUCUGGGAUUCAAAGUGCCUUACUGUAAAACUUCUGACAGAGAAGUUCAUUGAAGAAUUCAGGGAUAAUCAGAAAAUGGAUUUGGGUACAUUUGGUAGGAAAGUCCAGAGAGAGUUUAAAUUGCUCCCAAACAAAAUGAAGCUAAGCAGGGCAAGGAAAGCUGCACUUGAAAUAAUUCAUGGAGAUGAAGUAUCCCAGUAUAGUAAGUUGUGGAAUUUUGGCCAGGAGCUAAGAAGGUCCAAUCCAGGUAGUAGAUUUAUUCUAUGUACAACUGAGGUCAAGGAGAAAGAUGAUGAGGAUCCCAAGGACCAUUUGUCUUCAAUGUAUUGCUCUUUUGAUGCCUGCAAGAGAGGUUUUCUAAAGGGGUGUAGACCAAUCAUAUUUGUAGAUGGGUGCCACUUAAAGAGCAGGUACAAAGGGCAACUUCUCACUGCAGUGGGCAUAGACCCAAAUGACUGCAUUUUCCCUAUUGCCAUGGGCAUGGUCGAGGUGGAAUCAACCUUCUCAUGGCAGUGGUUUCUGACAACACUGAAGAAUGACCUGAAUAUUGUCAACAGUCAACACUUCCCCAUAUACUAUCAUGAGUGA